rnacentral:ncRNA from 1 species
UUGAAAUCCAAACUCCUAGCCUUUGUGCCUACGUUGUUCCACGAACAAUAGGGUGCCUGGGCCGUGGCGAAGUCAGCCACCAGGGUGCAGAGUGGAAACGCUCGCAUCUCCCGUAUUUGGAAGGUGUUAUGGUGCCGCAACU